AUUACAACGAAAACGAUUGAGAACCACUGCUUUAGACAACAACGUAACCAAACACUGAGAAAAACAGCAUAUUGAUCUAGAAAUAGAUGUGAGAUGUUUUAUCUCAUAUCGUCUGGUUCAUGAACACUUGUCUAUUGUGUGAACAUUCAGGGUGUGGCAUUGCAACAGAUCUUCCAGCAGAUGGUGCAGCGACUCUCACGAGCUCAUAGCCUGCAGGGGUUCAUUCACCCACUGUCUGUAGAAAGAGAAGAAAACAGACACAAUAACAUGACAUUGAUAAAUGUAAGCUGGCAAACCGCUCGGAUGCUUUUCUGCUUCGGUUGGAAAGCGUCUGGCAAGAACGCAAAUCUACAUUUCAAUAAAAAGCCAGAUCGUGGUGUGUUUCCAGACAUGCACGUCGCUACACAUUUAUGAGUGAAAAUGUCACGGUGCAUGAUGGGAGAACAGAUGUUAAAGCGGUUGGUGUGUCGUCUCUAUGUGAUGGAUUUGAUGUGACACCAGAUCUCUUAAUACCUCUAUGCAUUAUUCAGUGCAGAAUGGAGUCGUAGCACACAGGAAGUGAACAUCAGACGCAGGAAGAGAGGGAAGAGCCGAGUGUCCCGUGAGAACGAAAAAGCGAGCGAGAGAGCUCUCAUUCUGCAUGUCCUGCAUUAACUGCGGCCUUGUUAGUCUGUCAGUCUGUCACCUGUUGCUUGAAUUAUUUAAUGCACCUGACGUUUUGCUGUGUUCAGGUACUGGAUACUGAGCAGAGAUGCUGAAGGCUUUUAAGAGCACUGCAUUUGCUGAAAGACCUUGAGAAACUUCAAAGAUUUUUUCUGUAGACUUUCCGGUAGCACUUUACAUAAGUUGCUUGUUAACAGCAGUUAAUGCCUUAACAAACAUAAAACUCACGAUGAACAAAAGAAUUUCCCAGCAUUUUUAACCCUUGUUUAUGUUAGUUCAUGGUGUACUCAUGUUAAAAGGGACAAUGUUUGAUUUUAGUAAAUAUUGAAAAUAACAUGAACUAAGAUCAAUGAAUGCUUUAGAAGUAUUGUUCACUGUUUGUUCAAGUUGCAGCUUAUUGUAAAGUGUUACCGACUUUCCUUUUCACAUGAGCACAGGUUAUGCUGGUCCUGCCAUUUGAUGUCUUUUGUCAUUCUUGAACAUCAUUCUUUUUGUGGGCUGUAAGAACUUGUUUAUUGUGCAGGAUUCCUUACUUUGUAUUCUUCUUAAAACAAGAAAUGUUUGUCUUUGUAAUCUUUUUCAAAAGCCCUUACAUUUCACAUGACUUCAUUUUUUAGGCCACAUGGACUUUUGUUUAAAGGGGUCAUAUGCCGUGAAUACGUGUUUUUCUGUGUUAUAUCUUUGGUGUGUUAUCAGUUGACCAUGCAUGUAUAAGACACGUAAAAUUGCAAAAGUUAAAGUGUGGGAACAAAAGAUACAUUCUAUCUUAAUGCGAAUGCUCACCCAGACCUGCCUGAAACACCUCUUGUAACCACACGUCCACAAAUCUACGUCCAUUUGUGGUAUGAUUUGAAUAAGACCGCCCAAAUGUAUACGCAAGUAAGAUGGUGUACCUUUCAGAACAAUUGCUUUGGAACCUGAUGUUCCAAAUAUGGUCAGAGGCGUCACAUUUCUGUCACAAGCUUGCAGUUUUCGUCCAAUCACUACACACUGGUUAAUUGCCCAAUCGUAGCACACCUCACUUUUCAGAGAAAUGAGCUUUGUUAAAAAUCUGUGCGUUUCAGAGAGGCGGAGCAAAGAGGAGAUACAAACAUGCACGGUGUGUGGAAAAUACAGCGUUUAUGAACCUUAAAUCGUGUUUACACUAUUCGUCUCAGCCGUGUCAUGUCACCCCUUUAAUGAUCGAUACAUGGAAAUUCAGGAAAUCAUGUUGAUACAAUAUGAGACAGGAACACGAGCAUGUGGUGAAUUCUUGAAGGUAACCACGUUGGCACUCACAUGUGCAAACCCGCAUGCCGCAUCAGUGCUCACAGCUUGCAGCUGACGCAGGAUUUACAUGCUGUACCGUCUCCACCCGUGCAGAAGAGAAGAGGAGUUUGACCGCUCUGAGCUGAGUGAGUCUCCACACACACACACACUGGUUUCCAAUGAUUUAU